rnacentral:antisense_RNA from 1 species
GAUUUUGGCGGGCCGGGCGGGGGCAUCCUCGGAUGCGCCGGUUUACUCUUUGCCCGGUCUGCUAACCCCGCUCGGUCCGCCGCCCUC